GUGACCGACGCCAACAUGGCGGCGCCCAGUGGGGUCCACCUGCUCGUCCGCAGAGGUUCUCAUAGAAUUUUCUCUUCACCACUCAAUCAUAUCUACUUACACAAGCAGUCAAGCAGUCAACAAAGAAGAAAUUUCUUUUUUCGGAGACAAAGAGAUAUUUCACACAGUAUAGUUUUGCCGGCUGCAGUUUCUUCAGCUCAUCCGGUUCCUAAGGUACUGUAUUGCCUAUUAUCUCCUGCUUUUUCCAGCCAAGAUAAAAGUUGACUGCAGAAGUGAUCAAAUAUUUUUGCACCUUUGAUUUCUGAGCCAUUUGGGUUUUAAUUUUCAAACUAGGUUUGUGAUCUAAAACUGUGAUUUGAGAAGUUUUAAUAUCCUGCAGUUCUAUAGCAUUAAUUUUUUAAAACAAAGCUCUAAGCUUUCAAUUGCUUAGAGUAUUUAGAAUUAAAAUUUUUAACAUGAAAUUUUCUAUAUUAAAUUUCUAACAUGAAGAUAAAACUAUACGUAUGUAGUUUUCUAACUGUUUUAGAGAAAAAAAUUGACUAUAAAAUUGU
rnacentral:sRNA from 1 species